CUUCAACCUGCAGAGCCAUGCAGACACUGUGGACUCUCCUCUGCCUGGUGGCAGCUCCGCUGGGUGUUUUGUCUGAGCUGACCCUGCAGGAGUCGGGCCCAGGACUGGUCACGCCCUCCCAGACCCUGUCUCUCAUCUGCUCUGUCUCUGGGGGCUCUGUCACCACCAGUUACUACUGGCACUGGAUCCGCCAGCGUCCUGGGAGAGCACUGGAGUGGAUGGGGUACUGGAUAGGAAGCACAAGCUACAACCCAGCUUUCCAAGGCCGCAUCUCCAUAACCGCUGACACGUCCAAGAACCAGUUCUCCCUGCAGCUGAGUUCCCUGACCGCCGAGGACACGGCUAUGUAUUACUGUGCGAGAGGCACAGUGAGGGGACUUCAGUGUGAGCCCAGACACAAACCUCCUAUGCAGGGGAGUGAAGGACACCAGGGGGCGCAUUGGGCCACUUCUGCCAGGCAUCAGCUGAGGGCAGGUGUUCAGUGUGAGGUGCAGCUGCUGGAGUCUGGGGGAGGCCUGGUCCAGCCUGGGGGAUCCCUGAGACUCUCCUGUGUAGCCUCUGGAUUCACCUUGACCAGUUAUGGGAUGAACUGGGUCAAUCAGUCUUGA